UUAGACAUACUACCAACGGCGGCGCGAGCGUAAGCCUCUUGGAACAGAGCGUCUACGUGGGUGAGAAUCCUGUGUUUCGCUUGAUGCCCGCCGUGCACGGUACUUGCUCUCAGAGUCACGCUCCUCGGAAUUGGAGCGUAAAUUGGGUGGUAAAUUUCAUCUAAAGCUAAAUACAGGCUCGAGACCGAUAGCAAACAAGUACCAUGAGGGAAAGAUGAAAAGGACUUUGAAAAGAGAGUUAAAAGUGCUUGAAAUCGCUGAACUGGAAGCGAAUGGAACUAGUGCCCUGGUUGAGAUUGCUGCAAGUGGCUGCGACAUCUGGGCUCUGGAACGCAAGUCCGUUGUCUGGUUUGAAGUAGUUGCUUGUAAUGUGUCUCAGCUUGAACAUCAGCGUCUAUGCAUACGUGAGGAUGGUCCUUAGCU
rnacentral:rRNA from 1 species